UGCUGCUGCUGGUUCUCCCCACACACAGAGGAGGAUGGUGGUAAUGGUGGUGAUGGAGAAAGUGAUCCAGAGAGAAAUGAAUGAUUGAACCCAGGGAGGCAGCAGAGUUAACCGGUUACGCUCCUCCAGGCCUCACAGAGCCGCUCUGUCCAGACCGGGCAGAAGUCUUCAGGGACAGCGAGUACCUCCAUCAUCUUCCUCACCACAGGUUUGACAGCACUCCUCUUGUCGUGGGAGCCGGUUGCAGGCAGAAAGAUCAGCUCACUGAAUUAAGUUUUACAUCCUUUAUUGAAUCCAUUUGUCUCUGUCUGUUGGUGGAGAGGGCAGAAACAUAUACGGCAGUGGAUUGCUCAACCACGAGCAAAAUAUAUGUAAAAAAAACAAAACAAAAUAUUGUCGUUAUAACAAGAAACUUUUCUCAAUUGAGAAUUUUUAGAUUUUGAGAAAUGACAUAUUUUCUCAUUAUCGCAAAAUACCAAUUUUAUAAGAAGCUUUUUUUGUUAUAACAACAUAUCACUUUGUUAUAUCACAAAACCUUAUUUCACAAAAACAAGGCAUCUCGAUUAACCGCAGCUUUUCUACUGAAUCCAUGAUGAGCUGUGACAAUGUGACAUUUCCAUACGGUGUUAAAAUGAAACAAUAGAAAGUCCAUGGUGAUGGUUUCGACGUGAAGCAUGUUUUUACGUAUCACGACGUCAUACUUCACCUCAUACUGUAAAUAAAGAUGGACAACACCCAAAGUGAAGCUGAAACUGCUGCUCCACCCCUCCCCCAUCACUGCUCUGCUCCAAAUGAGCAAGAUGGCAGCGAUGGUAUCCGGGAUAUUUUGGCUUCAUUUCUGGAUCGUGUGAGAUGCGUCGUCCAUCUUUAUACACAGUCAGUGCUUCACCUCAUGAGGCUACGUGUGUUUAAUGUAUAUCAUGGUAUUUCUGAUGUAAUGUAUCCACCCGGGGCAGAGACUGCACAGUGCUUGAGAUGUUCCACAAGUGUUUAUAAUCUGGUCAUAAACCCUGCACAAGAAGAAGGAGCUUUAAUUGGCUGUUUCCUAAGCAUAAAAUAAAACCAAAUGUAAACCAGUAAUUGCAGCCAAUGUAAGCUACAAUCUUUUUUUGCAUGUUUUAACGAGAAGUUUUGUGCUUUGUGAAAUAACGUCCACUUUUUCCGAUAUGAAGAUAAAGUGAUACGUAUUUGCGUUGGCGGAACUGUGAACUAAGCACCUGCACAAGCCGGUUCAUUUAUUACAUGUAAUCUCAAAGCAACAUGUGAAACAACACAUACCUACGACGACUUCAAUGCAACCGUAAAUUAAAAAUUACAGUCAGUUCUCAAAUCAGCUCGUGUAAGAAACUAGCCCUUGUUCUCAGUUGCUGACCAAAGAACGAAAUCUUCAAAGAUCAUGGCAGACUGUCUUUGGCAGAACUCUGAAGAAAAUAAACAUGGCUACUAUUGCAUUACAAAAUGUGAAAAAAGGAACAGUGUUUCUCUUUCAUGUGGUAAUAAUAAAGAAUAGUGUAAACAGACAUAAUACCGCUGGAUAUAUUUAGUGUGUGCUGAGCGAAGGCCGAUACUUGUAACAUCUCCUAAAGAUAAUGUGCUUUUCCCUAGCAAAGGCAAGUGAAUGAUAAUAACACCAUUAUCAGUACAAAGAUCUAAAAAUGCGUCUUGAAGAACUCUUUAAAUUUAACUUAACUGUGGCUCGUGUCUGGAAGACACCAAAAACCUCACAUUAUAUGAAAUCCAACCUCUAAUCAAAAUAUAUAUAUUCCUGGGAUUUGUCAAAAUAAGCUUUAAAACACAUCUUGUACACACUUUAGAAAAAAAAAAAAGACGUUCCCAG